rnacentral:rRNA from 1 species
UACGAAGGGGGCGAGCGUUGUUCGGAUUUACUGGGCGUAAAGGGCGCGCAGGCGGCUCAUUUUGUCAGGCGUGAAAGCCCCGGGCUUAACCUGGGAACUGCGUUUGAUACGGAUGGGCUAGAGUUCGGGAGAGGAGAGUGGAAUUCCCAGUGUAGAGGUGAAAUUCGUAGAUAUCGAGAGGAACACCGGUGGCGAAGGCGGCCUUCUGGACAGUGACUGACGCUGAGACACGAAAGCGUGGGGAGCAAACAGG